rnacentral:rRNA from 1 species
UGACCUCAAAUCAGGUAGGAUUACCCGCUGAACUUAAGCAUAUCAAUAAGCGGAGGAAAAGAAACUAACAAGGAUUCCCCUAGUAACUGCGAGUGAAGCGGGAAAAGCUCAAAUUUAAAAUCUGGUAGUCUUUCUUGUCUGCCCGAGUUGUAAUCUAGAGAAGCAUUAUCCGCGCUGGACCGUGUACAAGUGUCUUGGAAUAGACCAUCAUAGAGGGUGAGAAUCCCGUCUUUGACACGGACUGCCCCAGGGCUUUUUGUGAUGUGCUCUCAACGAGUCGAGUUGUUUGGGAAUGCAGCUCUAAAUGGGUGGUAAAUUCCAUCUAAAGCUAAAUAUUGGCGAGAGACCGAUAGCGAACAAGUACCGUGAGGGAAAGAUGAAAAGAACUUUGGAAAGAGGGUUAAACAGUACGUGAAAUUGCUGAAAGGGAAGCGCUUGAAGUCAGUCGCGUUGACUGGGGCUCAACCAUUUGCUCUUUUGCUUGGUUUACUUCCCAGUUUGACGGGUCAGCAUCAGUUUUGACCAGUGGAUAAAGGCUCAAGGGAAUGUGGCACCUCUGGGUGUGUUUAUAGCCCUCAAGUCAUAUACAUUGAUUGGGACUGAGGAAACCUCAAGUAAUUCUUUUAUUACUUAGUGAUGCUGGCAUAAUGGCUUUAAGCAACCCGUCUUGAAACACGGACCAAGGAGUCUAACAUGCCCGCAAGUGUUUGGGUGGAAAACCCGAGCGCGUAAUGAAAGUGAUAUAUAACGUUGACAUCCCUUUGGGGAGCAUCAACGCCCAGACCAGAGCUUUUAGUGACGGUUCUGCGGUAGAGCGUGUAUGUUGGGACCCGAAAGAUGGUGAACUAUGCCUGAAUAGGGUGAAGCCAGAGGAAACUCUGGUGGAAGCUCGUAGCGAUUCUGACGUGCAAAUCGAUCGUCAAAUUUGGGUAUAGGGGCGAAAGACUAAUCGAA